GGCCAGCCUUCUCUUCAUUCAAUUGAUGAGAUCAAGUCAGUUAGGUCCGACCAUACAUCCUCCAUGACUCGACCUCAUGGGAGCCUCGGUUCCAACCGAGGUCAGGAUGACAUCCCCAAUAUUUGCCCCCCACGCAGUUCGCCCGAACUCAUUUAAGCUAUAAACUUUUGAAUUGAGAGUUAAAAUAUGGCUCAGAAGUCUGUAAGCAAGA
rnacentral:lncRNA from 1 species